rnacentral:rRNA from 1 species
UGGGGAAUUUUGGACAAUGGGCGCAAGCCUGAUCCAGCCAUGCCGCGUGCGGGAAGAAGGCCUUCGGGUUGUAAACCGCUUUUGUCAGGGAAGAAAUCUUCUGAGUUAAUACCUCGGGAGGAUGACGGUACCUGAAGAAUAAGCACCGGCUAACUACGUGCCAGCAGCCGCGGUAAUACGUAGGGUGCAAGCGUUAAUCGGAAUUACUGGGCGUAAAGCGUGCGCAGGCGGUUUUGUAAGACAGAGGUGAAAUCCCCGGGCUCAACCUGGGAACUGCCUUUGUGACUGCAAGGCUUGAGUGCGGCAGAGGGGGGCAUGGAAUUCCGCGUGUAGCAGUGGAAAUUGCGUAGAUAUGCGGAGGAACACCGAUGGCGAAGGCAAUUCCCCCUGGGCCUGCACUGACGGCUCAUGCACGAAAGCGUGGGGAGCAAACAGGAUUAGAUA